GGAAUUUUGCGCAAUGGGCGAAAGCCUGACGCAGCAACGCCGCGUGAGCGAUGAAGGCCUUCGGGUCGUAAAGCUCUGUCAGAGGGGAAGAACCGCCGGGUGGCUAAUAUCCAUUCGGUCUGACGGUACCCUCAAAGGAAGCACCGGCUAACUCCGUGCCAGCAGCCGCGGUAAUACGGAGGGUGCGAGCGUUGUUCGGAAUUAUUGGGCGUAAAGCGCGUGUAGGCGGCUGUUUAAGUCCGAUGUGAAAGCCCUGGGCUCAACCCGGGAAGUGCAUUGGAAACUGGGCAGCUUGAGUACGGGAGAGGGAGGUGGAAUUCCGAGUGUAGGGGUGAAAUCCGUAGAUAUUCGGAGGAACACCGGUGGCGAAGGCGGCCUCCUGGACCGAUACUGACGCUGAGACGCGAAAGCGUGGGGAGCAAA
rnacentral:rRNA from 1 species